AUCAAUUGGCUUGGGGGUUUAAAUUAUCGGAUUGCCCUAUCAUACUGCUUAGCUAAAGCCCUUGUCGAAAUGCAUAAGCAACUGUUAGAGAAAGAUCAGCUUCAGAUAGAGUGAAGAUGUAGGUGCAUUUUCUAGGGAUGGAAAGAAGGCAUGAUUAAUUUCCUCCAAUAUAUAAAUACUCAUUCAACUCGGAUCGUUACUCUGGUGCGAUCACAUUAUGUGGCCUCUUGAAGUCGUCCUACAUCCGAGGAGAGUCUCGCUUCUCUGACCACAGACCAGUGUACAAUAUUUUCAUGGCUAAGGUUGAGAGUGCCCGCCACAGAAGAUCGAACUUAUCCUUGAUCAUGAUCUCCGGUGUUGAGGGAACAAUGAUAGAUUGAUAUGAGGAUUACAGGUGUAAUCAUGUGUAUAAUAACACUUUUUUAUUUUCCUCUAUCCCUGUGGUGUAGUACAUGAAAAGCAAAAUGAUACAUGCAUUUGUUGUGCUUAUUGCUGUUAAAUAUUUUUCUAAUUCUAAAAGGUCAGAGCCUUGCUUCCUAGC